CAAAAAAUAAAUUAUUUCGUUUUUCGCGUUCGCUUAGACUAAAGUAAAACUAAAGUUCCAGCAGCAACAAGUCCUCCAAGAUUGUGGUCCGGCGGACGGACAGACUUUUAGGACAAGCCGGAGGACAUCAGCGCAAAAGGAGCUGAGAGAGAUAUGUCCCAUACGAUGGAUGGAUUUCAACCACCAACCACCAGCUACGCCAACGACUCGCCCGUGAAUCCGAAAUUAGGCCUCUUCAAUGGUAGAGGAUUGGAAGGAAGGCUCCUGGUAGCGCAGCAACCGUUCGCUAUGCCUGUGGCCGGAUGGGACCGUUAUUAGCGAUCCCUGACAAAUUGAAAUUCUCGUUGGAUGGUUUUGUAGCCGAUUGAUGUUCAAAAUGUAAGUCUACUAAAUAUAUAAAAAUCGAAUAAAUAA